UGGGGAAUAUUGCACAAUGGAGGGAACUCUGAUGCAGCGACGCCGCGUGAACGAAGAAGGCUUUCGAGUCGUAAAGUUCUUUUAUAUGGGAAGAUAAUGACGGUACCAUAAGAAAAAGCCCCGGCAAACUACGUGCCAGCAGCCGCGGUAAUACGUAGGGGGCUAGCGUUGUCCGGAAUCACUGGGCGUAAAGGGUUCGCAGGCGGAAAUGCAAGUCAGGUGUAAAAGGCAGUAGCUUAACUACUGUAAGCAUUUGAAACUGCAUAUCUUGAGAAGAGUAGAGGUAAGUGGAAUUUUUAGUGUGUCGGUGAAAUGCGUAUAUAUUAAAAAGAAUACCGGUGGCGAAGGCGACUUACUGGGCUCAUUCUGACGCUGAGGAACGAAAGCGUGGCUAGCAAACAGG
rnacentral:rRNA from 1 species